UCGACGGCAGGUUAGCCAGCGCCCAGCGCGCGAGCGAUGUUGUAGGCGAAGAAGCUCGCGGUAUAAGCGAGCGCGAACAUGUAAGCGAAAGUGAUCGCCAUCCACUUCCAACUGCCGGUUUCGCGGCGGAUGACUGCCAGGGUCGAGGCACAUUGCGGCGCGAAAAUAUACCAGAGCAGCAGCGACAACGCCGUCGCGAGACUCCAUUUGGCGGCGAGCACCUGUCCGAUCUGGUCGG
rnacentral:misc_RNA from 1 species